rnacentral:rRNA from 1 species
AGAGUUUGAUCCUGGCUCAGGACGAACGCUGGCGGCGUGCUUAACACAUGCAAGUCACGGGGGCCCGCAAGGGCAACCGGCGAACGGGUGCGUAACACGUGAGCAACCUGCCGAUCUGUGGGGGAUAGCCGGCCCAACGGCCGGGUAAUACCGCAUACUCUCGUUGAGGGGCAUCCCUUGACGAGCAAACCUCCGGGGCAGAUCGAGGGGCUCGCGACCUAUCAGCUAGUUGGUGAGGUAACGGCUCACCAAGGCGACGACGGGUAGCUGGUCUGAGAGGAUGGCCAGCCACAUUGGGACUGCGACACGGCCCAGACUCCUACGGGAGGCAGCAGUGGGGAAUAUUGCGCAAUGGACGAAAGUCUGACGCAGCGACGCCGCGUGUGGGAUGAAGCUCUUCGGGGUGUAAACCACUGUUGCCCGGGAAGAACCUCCCCUUUCGAGGGGAUUGACGGUACCGGGUGAGGAAGCACCGGCUAACUCUGUGCCAGCAGCCGCGGUAAUACAGAGGGUGCGAGCGUUGUCCGGAAUCACUGGGCGUAAAGGGCGCGUAGGUGGCGGGAUAAGCGUGUGGUGAAAGCCCGGGGCUCAACUCCGGGUCUGCCAUGCGGACUGUCUUGCUCGAGCAUAGUAGAGGCAGGUGGAAUUCCGGGUGUAGCGGUGGAAUGCAGAGAUCCGGAGGAACACCGGUGGCGAAGGCGGCCUGCUGGGCUAUUGCUGACACUGAAGCGCGACAGCGUGGGGAGCAAACAGGAUUAGAUACCCCAGUAGUCC